rfam:Asian citrus Psyllid, Diaphorina citri - Florida Strain, whole genome shotgun sequence.
GCCUAGUUAGCUUGGUUGGUAGCGCGUCUGCCUUGUAAGCGCUUGGCCACGGGUUCGAUUCCCGUCGGGGCG